UGACCAUCUGGGUAGGGGCUGAGUGGUUAGAGAGAGAGACCAUCUGGGUAGGGGCUGAGUGGUUAGAGAGAGAGAGACCAUCUGGGUAGGGGCUGAGUGGUUAGAGAGAGAGAGACCAUCUGGGUAGGGGCUGAGCGGUUAGAGAGAGAGACCAUCUGGGUAGGGGCUGAGCGGUUAGAGAGAGAGACCAUCUGGGUAGGGGCUGAGUGGUUAGAGAGAGAGACCAUCUGGGUAGGGGCUGAGUGGUUAGAGAGACCAUCUGGGUAGGGGCUGAGUGGUUAGAGAGAGAGAGACCAUCUGGGUAGGGGCUGAGUGGUUAGAGAGAGAGAGAGACCAUCUGGGUAGGGGCUGAGUGUGGUUAGAGAGAGAGAGACUAUCUGGGUAGGGGCUGAGUGGUUAGAGAGACCAUCUGGGUAGGGGCUGAGUGGUUAGAGAGAGAGACCAUCUGGGUAGGGGCUGAGUGGUUAGAGAGAGAGACCAUCUGGGUAGGGGCUGAGCGGUUAGAGAGACCAUCUGGGUAGGGGCUGAGCGUGGUUAGAGAGAGAGAGAGAGACCAUCUGGGUAGGGGCUGAGUGGUUAGAGAGAGAGACCAUCUGGGUAGGGGCUGAGUGGUUAGAGAGAGAGACCAUCUGGGUAGGGGCUGAGUGGUUAGAGAGACCAUCUGGGUAGGGGCUGAGUGGUUAGAGAGAGAGAGACCAUCUGGGUAGGGGCUGAGUGGUUAGAGAGAGAGACCAUCUGGGUAGGGGCUGAGUGGUUAGAGAGAGAGAGACCAUCUGGGUAGGGGCUGAGCGGUUAGAGAGACCAUCUGGGUAGGGGCUGAGUGGUUAGAGAGAGAGACCAUCUGGGUAGGGGCUGAGUGGUUAGAGAGAGAGACCAUCUGGGUAGGGGCUGAGUGGUUAGAGAGAGAGACCAUCUGGGUAGGGGCUGAGUGGUUAGAGAGAGAGACCAUCUGGGUAGGGGCUGAGUGGUUAGAGAGAGAGACCAUCUGGGUAGGGGCUGAGUGGUUAGAGAGACCAUCUGGGUAGGGGCUGAGUGGUUAGAGAGAGAGACCAUCUGGGUAGGGGCUGAGUGGUUAGAGAGAGAGACCAUCUGGGUAGGGGCUGAGUGGUUAGAGAGAGAGAGACCAUCUGGGUAGGGGCUGAGUGGUUAGAGAGAGAGACCAUCUGGGUAGGGGCUGAGUGGUUAGAGAGAGAGACCAUCUGGGUAGGGGCUGAGUGGUUAGAGAGAGAGACCAUCUGGGUAGGGGCUGAGUGGUUAGAGAGACCAUCUGGGUAGGGGCUGAGUGGUUAGAGAGACCAUCUGUGUAGGGGCUGAGUGGUUAGAGAGAGAGAGACCAUCUGGGUAGGGGCUGAGUGGUUAGAGAGAGAGAGACCAUCUGGGUAGGGGCUGAGUGGUUAGAGAGAGAGACCAUCUGGGUAGGGGCUGAGUGGUUAGAGAGAGAGAGACCAUCUGGGUAGGGGCUGAGUGGUUAGAGAGAG
rnacentral:lncRNA from 1 species